UAGACCACCCCCAUGACCAGGACACUAACAGAUGCUUCCAGUCUUCCAUUCUGCCUGAGGCUAAGUACAGACAAUCAAGAAACCUGAGGCUGAAUUGAUUCAACCUUGGCAGGCUUACUGUUUCAAUAGUCUGAUGGUGCCUUUUUCUCUACCAGUGGAACAACAACUGAGCUGCACUAGACUGACAAAAACGUUCUGGAAUGGGUCUCAAGCCAGCAGGGAACUUGUGUGCUUUAGUGAAGUGGUACUCAACCUCCACCUUGCUGGCCAGCUGUGGCCUGCAGAGCUGGUGUGAACGGCCUGUUACCAUGUCAGCGCAGGUGAACACUACUGCUGUUCACCCUCUCAUUUUCCCUACCACUGAAUUCAACAGCAAGGAAAAGGAGGCCUUCACCAACAGCGACAUGCCAAUGAUCUCAGAACUUUUGUGCAGCUCUAGAGCCCAAGAGCUGAACGCAGACAACACUCCUCCCCCUCCUGAAGUCAGUGGCAGGGAAAAGAGGGACCAAGCAUCAGUGGUGGCAUUCAGCUUCUGGGCUUCAGAGCUUCACGAAAACUUUGAGUCCACUGGCAUGUCAGUGCAGGCUCUGGUUGCCAAAGUUUUCAGGGCGCUUCAAAGCCCAGAGGCUGAGUGCUGCCACUGCUGCUCAUCCCUUCUUUUGCCUGUCUCUGAAUUCUGUUGGGAGGUGGGGAGGAGAGGGAGGCAAACAGCAGCAAGACUUAGCUCCUGGACUCUGGAGUCUUUGAAAAUUUUGGCAACUGAAAGGGGAAAGGCGGUGGAGACCUGCCCAUGGGUCACAGGCCAGGGUUGGCUACAGCACCUGCAAAAAAAAAAAAAACGGCAAGCUAUUUCAAAGAAUUUCCCACUUCUCCAGGGUGGAGAAGUGGUCCCCCUCCCACUGUCUUCCCAAAGCACAUGGCUCUCCUUUCAGGAGAUGCAAGUAGAGCGCUGAGAAGCACAGAAAGUUGAGGUGUUGCCAGUGUUGCCAGCUAGGCAAUCUCCAUCUGUCAUCUGAAAGAAUUCUUUAAAUACCUUGUACAAUAUUACAAUUGGUCUUAUUAUUUGUAAUGAUCCUAAUCUUUAAUUAUUUUUUAUAA